rnacentral:rRNA from 1 species
AGAGCGAACGCUGGCGGCAGGCCUAACACAUGCAAGUCGAGCGCCCCGCAAGGGGAGCGGCAGACGGGAGAGUAACACGUGGGAACGUACCCUUCAGUUCGGAACAACCCAGGGAAACUUGGGCUAAUACCGAAUACGUCCGUAAGGAGAAAGAUUUAUCGCUGAAGGAUCGGCCCGCGUCUGAUUAGCUUGUUGGUGAGGUAACGGCUCACCAAGGCGACGAUCAGUAGCUGGUCUGAGAGGAUGAUCAGCCUCACUGGGACUGAGACACGGCCCAGACUCCUACGGGAGGCAGCAGUGGGGAAUAUUGGACAAUGGGCGCAAGCCUGAUCCAGCCAUGCCGCGUGGGUGAUGAAGGCCCUAGGGUUGUAAAGCCCGUUUCGGCGGGGAAGAUAAUGACGGUACCCGCAGAAGAAGCCCGGCUAACUUCGCGCCAGCAGCCGC